rnacentral:tRNA from 1 species
GGCCUCGUAGCUCAGCUGGUAGAGCAUGCGCGUACAAAGCGUAGGCGGUGUCCAUGCGUGGGUUCGAAUCCCACCGAAGCUA